GAUGAACGCUAGCGGCAGGCUUAAUACAUGCAAGUCGAGGGGCAUCAAGGUACACGAAAGUGUAUUGUUGGCGACCGGCGGACGGGUGAGUAAUAGGUAGGUAACCUACCUCAUACUGAGGCAUAGCUGGGAGAAAUUCCAGGUAAUUCCUCAUGAGGUUAUAUGACACAUGUGAUAUAAUCAAAGGUAUCGCAAGGUACUGGUAUGAGAUGGGCUUACUGACCAUUAGCUAGUUGGUGAGAUAAGAGCUCACCAAGGCGAAGAUGGUUAGGGGUUUUGAGAGAGAGAUCCCCCACAUUGGAACUGAGAUACGGUCCAGACUCCUAACGGGAGGCAGCAGUAGGGAAUAUUGGGCAAUGGGCGGAAGCCUGACCCAGCCAUGCCGCGUGAAGGAAGACGGCCUUAUGGGUUGUAAACUUCUUUAACUAUGCGACUAACUAGAUUUACGAAUAAUUCUAUAGAAUGUAGCAUAGACAAAAAGCACCGGUA
rnacentral:rRNA from 1 species